AUAAAUGUUGUGAUAAAGUAAAGUAUUAUAAGGAUAGGUCACAGAGAGAAAGUGGGGCUGGAAAUCUUUCACCAAAGCUUUAUAAGAAGUGCGCUUUUGAACAGGAAUUUCGAAAAGUUAUAAGUAGAAAUUUUCGAGUAUCACCCGUUAACGUGAUAGAGUAUUUAUAGUACUUGAUUAAGUGAGGUCUUUACCUAAUUAGAGUGGAACCACGGAGUAAAAAGCUUCGUCUCUAAA
rnacentral:ncRNA from 1 species